ensembl:lncRNA
UAGGGUAGUUUGGGUCAUUGAGUGACUGCAGUAGAUGGAUGGGAGUAGGGUGUAAGGAUUUUGCCCAAAUGCUCUCUGCACCAGUGUAUUUUUCUUCCCUGAUAAUAGGCACAAAAUCUGUGUUAGAAGCUUGUGUUGGAAAUCAUACAAAAGAGUCUACUACUCAUAUAUUUUAUCAAGGAACCUGGAAGCAUGGGACACAGUUUGUGGAAGGUUCUUCUGUUCUUGCAGCAGCAAUGCAUUCCCAGUGGCUCUGCUCCUUCAUUCACCUAGACCUCAGACCAAGCAGUGCCCCGAGAUGCAAGUCCAGGGCCUUGUGAAGGCACCCUCAGAAUUAUCCACUUCUGGCCCAGCUACAGUAAGGCACUGAAAUAGGGCUUGAGCUGUCUCAAAGGUUGGCCUUGGACUUGGGAUCCUUCUGCCUCAGCCUCCCUAGCAUUGGGAUUACAGCUCUUUGCAUAGGAACCAAUGGAUCUAUAAGCCUUCAGAGGUCAUGAAGAGUUGGGUUUGUCAACCACAGAUUUAUAGCGCAAGAAGGAGUUUAUUUAAGGUCUUCAACCCCUGAACAAACGUAGCACAGGUAAAACAUGAGUCUGUUUUCCACUGUUACAGCAAAAUACCUGAAGCUGUGUACUUUGUAAAGAAAAGCUAUUUAGCUCACCAAUUUAGAGGCUAAAGAUCUAAAAUCAGGAAGCCUCUUGCAUUUGGCCUCUGGUGAGGCCCUUCCUUGGCUGCAUCACACAAUGGCUAAUGGCAUCAUAGCAGAUGGCCAAAAUGUGUGUGAGACAGAGAAGGUCACAUGUGAAACAGGAAACCAAAAGGAGACCCAGGCUGCUCUUUCAUAACAACAAUGUGCUCUCAUGAGAAAAACCAACUCAUGCUGUGAGACCAGCAUUGAUCCUUUCCAACGUGUGACCAUUAAUCCUGACAUGGCAAUUUGACUGGAUUGAAAAAUGCCUAGCAGAUUAGUAACACACAGGUCUGGGUGUGUCUGUGGAGGUGAUUGGCAGGUAGGCCAGCAAACUGGGUGGUAACAACCAAUAGGCUCAUAGCCUGGUCAGAAGAAAAAGGGAAAGAAGGAAGUUCAUCCAUUUUUGAAGAGCUCCAGUCUUCUUGAGCAAGUGUAGCCUUUCCUGCUAUUGUCUCCAGUUUCUUCAGCCUUCCAACACAGACUCACACUAGUGACUCUCCAGCGAGCCUUCAGGACUUCGACUUUAGACUGGUGCUGUAUCCUUGAUUCCUCUUGUUCUGUGGCUUCCAUCUUCUUCAGCUGAGCAGCGACUGGAUUGUCUCAAUCUCCAGCACAUAGAUGAUUAUCAUGGAUUCUUCCACUUCUGAUCUCACAGAUGGCCAUUGUGGACUCUCCCCACUUCUGAUGCUAUAAGCCCACCUAAUAAAUUCCCUUGUAUAUGAUACAUGUAUUUUCUCUUGAUUCUGUUCCUCUAGAGAAUCUUAACUAAUGCACAAAGGUGGAACCCCU